rnacentral:rRNA from 1 species
GACGGAGGGAGCAAGCGUUGUUCGGAUUUACUGGGCGUAAAGGGCGUCUAGGCGGGCCAGUUAGUCAGGUGUGAAAUCCCCCGGCUCAACCGGGGAGCUGCACUUGAUACUGCUGGUCUUGAGUACGGAAGAGGGAGGCGGAAUUCCUGGUGUAGCGGUGAAAUGCGUAGAUAUCAGGAAGAACACCGGUGGCGAAGGCGGCCUCCUGGUCCGAUACUGACGCUAAAGCGCGAAAGUGUGGGGAGCAAACAGG